UACAAAUUAGUUUUUUAAAGUCACCAGUUGGUGGCGCGCUGUAGUAAGUGUAUAUAGAUCGGAUACUCUAUGUAUUUUACUGUUCUUGUGAAGCCCGAUAUUUGGCAACAGCUCAACCAUAGUAAUAACAAAGAGGGCGUAAAUAAAAUGGAUCCAGAGUAUUCAAUAACAGAAGUCAAAGAAAGUGGCAGAUUUUGAGAUAAUGGAAAAAAUAGCUCGUUUCGCUUAAAGUACCAUAAUACGAUAUUUGUAUUUAUUAAAAUAUCAUUUAAUGCUUUUAUAGAA